UACGGGGGGGAGCAAGCGUUGUUCGGAAUUACUGGGCGUAAAGCGCGCGCAGGUGGUCUUUCAAGUCAGUGGUGAAAGCCCGGAGCUCAACUCCGGAAAUGCCAUUGAAACUGUAAGACUUGAGGAUGAGAGAGGUGAGUGGAAUUCCCAGUGUAGAGGUGAAAUUCGUAGAUAUUGGGAAGAACACCGGUGGCGAAGGCGGCUCACUGGCUCAUAUCUGACGCUCAGGCGCGACAGCGUGGGGAUCAAACAGG
rnacentral:rRNA from 1 species